GCACAAGCGGUGGAGCAUGUGGUUUAAUUCGAUGCAACGCGAAGAACCUUACCUAGACUUGACAUCCCGGGAAUUCUUAGGAAACUAAGAAGUGCCUUUCGGGGAGCCCGGUGACAGGUGCUGCAUGGCUGUCGUCAGCUCGUGUCGUGAGAUGUUGGGUUAAGUCCCGCAACGAGCGCAACCCUUGUCCUUAGUUGCCAGCAUUCAGUUGGGCACUCUAAGGAGACUGCCGGUGUUAAACCGGAGGAAGGUGGGAUGACGUCAAGUCCUCAUGGCCUUUAUGUCUAGGGCUACACACGUACUACAAUGGCCGGUACAAAGGGCAGCCACUCAGCGAUGAGGCGCUAAUCCCAUAAAGCCGGUCUCAGUCCGGAUCGCAGUCUGCAACUCGACUGCGUGAAGUUGGAAUCGCUAGUAAUCGUAGAUCAGCAUGCUACGGUGAAUACGUUCCCGGGCCUU
rnacentral:rRNA from 1 species